AUUGAACGCUGGCGGCAUGCUUUACACAUGCAAGUCGAACGGCAGCGCGGGCUUCGGCCUGGCGGCGAGUGGCGAACGGGUGAGUAAUGCAUCGGAACGUGCCCAGUAGUGGGGGAUAGCCCGGCGAAAGCCGGAUUAAUACCGCAUACGACCUGAGGGUGAAAGCGGGGGACCGAAAGGCCUCGCGCUAUUGGAGCGGCCGAUGUCGGAUUAGCUAGUUGGUGGGGUAAAGGCUUACCAAGGCGACGAUCCGUAGCUGGUCUGAGAGGACGACCAGCCACACUGGGACUGAGACACGGCCCAGACUCCUACGGGAGGCAGCAGUGGGGAAUUUUGGACAAUGGGGGCAACCCUGAUCCAGCCAUGCCGCGUGCGGGAAGAAGGUCUUCGGGUUGUAAACCGCUUUUGUUCGGGAAGAAAUCCUCUGGGCUAACACCCCGGGGGGAUGACGGUACCGGAAGAAUAAGCACCGGCUAACUACGUG
rnacentral:rRNA from 1 species